rnacentral:rRNA from 1 species
GAUGGGCGCUGGCGGCGUGCCUAAUACAUGCAAGUCGAGCGAACAGACGAGGAGCUUGCUCCUCUGACGUUAGCGGCGGACGGGUGAGUAACACGUGGAUAACCUACCUAUAAGACUGGGAUAACUUCGGGAAACCGGAGCUAAUACCGGAUAAUAUAUUGAACCGCAUGGUUCAAUAGUGAAAGACGGUUUUGCUGUCACUUAUAGAUGGAUCCGCGCCGCAUUAGCUAGUUGGUAAGGUAACGGCUUACCAAGGCAACGAUGCGUAGCCGACCUGAGAGGGUGAUCGGCCACACUGGAACUGAGACACGGUCCAGACUCCUACGGGAGGCAGCAGUAGGGAAUCUUCCGCAAAGGGCGAAAGCUUGACGGAGCAACGCCGCGUGAGUGAUGAAGGUCUUCGGAUCGUAAAACUCUGUUAUUAGGGAAGAACAAAUGUGUAAGUAACUAUGCACGUCUUGACGGUACCUAAUCAGAAAGCCACGGCUAACUACGUG